CGCGCGCACGCCGCAGGGGCGGGGAUGGGCCCUGGAAGGCGUGGCCCCUCCCCUAGCCCGCCUUCCCACGCGGUCUCUGGGCUGGUUGAGCUGCGCCGCUGCAGGUAGUGCUGAGUUGCUCCAGGUAAGCUCCUCCUCUCAAAAAGCUCUAGGAACCGAGCCACCCUCGCCCUAGGAGCAACGCCCCUGAGUAAUAUGGGGUUUCGUCGGAUUUCUGCCCGCCGCUCUGGAUCACACGUUUGUUCUCCCUAUUUGAGUCGCAAGGCCUUCCUUCAUUCCACCUAGCAGGCUGCUUGGAAAAGGGCAGAGACUCAUUACUUUGCACCAGUGCCACUGGGUUAGGGUCUCCACAACCGAGCUGGUCUCAGCAAGUGGUGUCCAUACAUGGGGCUCGAACCUGGGUUGAAGGGUCGCCAGAGCGACGGUUGGAGAACGUGGAACUAAGCUGGAGGACACCUGAGUACUCUUAAGCAAUCCCCGUGAUUGGAGAGGAUGAAGGCCCUGAGGUCCAAGAACAUGGAAACCUGACAGUGGACGCCAACAGCUGUGGAGAGAAGCCGGGCGACAGCUGUGGAGAGAAGCCGGGCGAUAUGCUCACGCUUCCGUGUGCCCAGCAAUCCUGCUUUAUCUUUUUAAAUAAAGGUGAUUCCUGAUAACACU
rnacentral:lncRNA from 1 species